UACGAAGGGGGCUAGCGUUGUUCGGAAUCACUGGGCGUAAAGCGCACGUAGGCGGAUUGUUAAGUCGGGGGUGAAAUCCUGAGGCUCAACCUCAGAACUGCCUUCGAUACUGGCGAUCUUGAGUCCGGAAGAGGUUGGUGGAACAGCUAGUGUAGAGGUGAAAUUCGUAGAUAUUAGCUAGAACACCAGUGGCGAAGGCGGCUCACUGGCCCGGUACUGACGCUGAGGUGCGAAAGCGUGGGGAGCAAACAGG
rnacentral:rRNA from 1 species